UUUUUGAUAAAUCCUAUCGACUAAUCCGGUCAGCCUCGGUAGAAACGCACCGAAGUACUUCAGAGUAGACUUCUCCCCGAAAGACCACACUGUCUGUCUCGAGUUUGGAAUUCUUAGUAGAGAGUUUAAUAGGGCACAUCUUAGAGAUGGUGACAAGGAAAAGUUUACUCUUAAAAAUGUUCAUA
rnacentral:sRNA from 1 species